AUAGAUAACUAUACUAUGCAUCCCUGUUAGUUCUUUCUCUUUUGUUUUCUUUUUUGAAAGAGGUUCUUGCUAUGUAGUGCAGGCUGACCUUAAACUAGUUUUUGUAGUCCAGGCGGGUCUUGAACUCAGGGUGAUCCUCCUGUCCCAGUCUCCUGAGCGCUGCCGGGGUUACAGGAGUGCGCCUCUGCACUCACCAUUUCCCUCCCUCUGAUGGCUAGCACCUCCCUCUGCCAUUCAUGAAAUGUGAUCUGGGAGGAUUGUCUGGGAUUGUCAAGCAUUUCUCUUAAAUCUCACAACUCACAUAAGCCAGAUACGCGCUGAGGUCCUGGUCCUGAUGCUCCCGGAGGACUCAGCUUUGUGUGUUUCUCCUCCUCUUUCCUGGCCACAUAUCUUUGGUCAAACGUUUCAGAUUCUCAGAUCUUCUGCUUCUGCAUCUUGAUGCUGAUGAGCAGUGGUGAUCUGGGCCCUGAAUGAUUUUGGGGAGAAUUAAAAUUAAACACAAAGGUCAGCAUAGAGACACUUUAUGGUGUCCUAUGAAGCACUCUGCCACAUUUCCAAGGCUUCAGGUCCUCUGCAGAGGGUUCAUCUCAGAGCUGCCAGAAGGGUAAGGAAAACCUCACGGGUGAGCAGAAGCUAGAAAAGUCAUCUGUGCUCGGCAAAGCCCCAGAAACAGGCAGAAGGAUCAGCUCUGUGCCACCCCAAUUCUAUAGUUCUCUGGUCUGUUUCUACUAAGCAUCUCUAUCCUGGCUUUGGCUGUCCUAGAGUCUUCCCCCCAUACCUUUUGCUAUCUUACAUCUGCCCACUUAGAUGCGCUGAAUGAGUUUGACACUCAGUGUGUCAAUGGAGAGAUUCAGGUUGUGACCUCGCUCAUGUGCUAGUGAGUGUCUAAUACCUGCCUCCUCAUGGGAACUCAUGUGAGGGUGGUGGAAGUCCUGAUAGUUCCUCAACUUUUGCCAAUUAUCUUACUGCAGAAACCCCCAACAUGGUGGAUUUCAAUCUACCCAUUACCUGGCUCCUCAGACUCUGAAAAUCAACCAAUUGGAUUCUGUGAGCCAAUGCAAGCCAGUGACAGCACAUGACUAUCAUCCUUUCUGCCACCUCCCAGUGUCUGGUCUGUCCAAGAAUUAGUUCUUUGGACUGAGUUUCCACCUUGGUCCAGUUAGCUGUGGCCGAGAUACGAUGAUCUAACACAUCCCAGUGAAUCCAAGUAGGCAGAAGGAACUGCCAAUUACUAAUGUGCUCUUCAAUGAAGAUUUGUUCGGCUCUCCUUCUGUGGAUGUCUCUGACACUAUAAUGAAUGAAAGGGAAAUAUACACAAUGACAAUAACUUGGUACACAUUAUGAAGUGACUGAUGCCACAAGAGAGACACAGGAGAUGUCACUUCCAACAGGGAGCUGACGGGAAGACUGUCUAGUACCUAAAAUUUGAAUUGAGCUUUUGUGGAAGACAGGAUUAAAUGAUGGAGGGAUAGAGGAAAAUUUUUUCAAGACAGAGAACAGAAGUAAGAAUGAAAACCUGCACUGGAGAAACUGUGGCAUAGGCAUGGAAUUGGUGAGUUUUCGUGCAGAAAAUGAUGAGGAGAGAAGUGUGAUUGUUUACCAAGGAAAAUUGUAAGGGCCUUUGCAUGUCAGAAUGAGGUGCCAAAUAUGUCACGCUGCUAUUCUUUGGUGGCUUACCAAACAAAGGCAAACUAUAAGUCAUAAAGCUAUUAUCUAUAUGAUCACAUAUCUCAAUGAAUACAGAAUAGUGAAAGUUUAUUAGAGUAAGGUUUUGCAGAGUCAUAAAUGAAUUUUUGACAUUUUUCAUUCUUUCAAAUAGAGAAUAUUAUUAUUAGUAUUGAUUCUUUCAUUGAAUUGUGUUAACAAGAACAAGAUUACUGAUAAGACUGGGAUGAAUCUGCAUGAAUAAUCUUUGUCACUCCCACAGACACCCAAAACACUAAGAAACAAGCAAACAAGAAAUCCUAUUAAUUACUGUAACACCUUAGAGUAGGUUGAAUGAUGAUUUUCUAAGAGUAUUGUCCUUAUUGCUAUAAGCUGCGAAGAGGGUCUUAACUGGGACAAAGUGUCUUGCAUGUAUAAUUAAGUUAAGGAUCAUGAGAUAAAAAGAUCAUCCUGGAUUGCUCAGGAUGACUGUCAACUCACUGAAAAGCAUCCUAAUAAGAAUCACCCCAAAGAAGAGGAGACAAUGUGGUCAUCAACAUAGAGAUUAGAGCCAUAGGGAAUGGAAUACAAAGAAUCAUCAUAAACUGAAAGAAAAAAAACCAGAUCAUUUGCUACAUCCUUUUGAGGGAACAGGACCCUGCUGCUGCCUUGUUAUUAGACUUUGGGCUUCCAGAAUUGUGAAAGGUAUAUAUGUUUGAUCGUUUAAAACAACAGCUUUACCAUCAUUUGCCAAAACAGGUACAAAACACACAUUCUUUGUAUCAGUAUGAGAAUGAGGUGUAGAAGGCUCAAUUAACUUACCUAAGGUGCCUCUGCUAGAAAGUGAUUAGGGCAUGAGACUAAGUCAGGGAUUUUCAGAGUUUGCUUUCAACCUUAAUAAAUAAAACACCAUACCUCGUAACUAUGUCUACUCCAUUAGAGUUAGAUAAGAGGCAAUCACAAGGUGUUAUAGGAGUGCACAUAACCCAGUUUAUGAAUAAAUAUCAGGGCGGAUAUUCUAGAGGAGAUGAUAUUGGAUUGAGUUUUAAUGAUGGAGAUACAGAGAAUAAAGUGAGGAAAUGUUUCUGAGCAGAGAGAAUAAAUAUAAGACUGAGAAAGAGCAAGGCAUUUUUAAGGAAUUACAAUAGGAAAGUAUGGACAAGGACAUUUUUGGAAGGUGAAUGGAAAAUGAGGCAGAAGUUGAAGGUGAGGACCAGCUGGUCUUACGUCUUACGUGCUAGGCUCCAGAUUGUGGAGUCCUCAGGCAGCUCGGAGAUUGGAUGACUUGGUGCAGUAUGAUCUUGUGACAAGCUGGGUCUCUUACAGAUUUAUGAGAUGAGAUUAAAAACUACAGUGAAAUUUUAAAUUUAAAAAUUAUCACUGAAAAAGACAUGUUGCCAUGAAUCCUUUUCAAAAUAUCCUGCUUCACUUUGAACACACUUAUGCCAUCUUUUUGCCACUUACUGGAGCAGUUCUGGAGGUUCUUUUCUGUGAGUGUCGUUAGUUGCACUGUCAUGGCUGUCAUGACAUCCUGAUCGACUCAAAAUGCUUCCCUUUCAAAGUCAUUUUGACUUUGAGGGAGAACAAGAAGUCACAUCAUGCCCAAUCAGGUGAAUAAGGAGGAUGAAGACAUAACGUGUUUUUAGGAGCCCACUUUCCUGUCGGAGGGCAUUUGACAGUGGAAUUCAUCCUAUUUUUGAUUAUACUUUAUAAGUACACUCAUUAUAACAUUUUAAAAACUUAAACAUUCACCAUGCAUUUUGAGUAUAUCUCGUAUAGCAGAAGGCAGCCUGGAGAGUAGCUAAACUUGUGCUGAGACAGGAGGUAAAUUCUCCUUAAGGACUGGUCGGGAUGUGCAUUGCAACACUGGGCAUGAGGAAGGAGAGGAGGAAGAAGACUUAGGAGCUACUCUAAGGAGAUAACGGGGUGAGGUCUGAUGACUCUGCAAAGGGCAGAGGAAAAGAGGAGCAUUGGCUGCUUCCUUACAAGUUCCAGGUUUGGGGAACUGGGUCCAUGGCAGUGUCAUCUGCUGUCAUAGAAAAUAAAGGAAGGGCAGUGAGUGGGAUGGGUUUGGAAGCUGUGAGUGUAAAUAAGGACUUCAUUAGUGCUGAGCAUCUUGCAUGUUUUACUCUGAAUAUGAAGACACCUACAUAUGAAUCAUGACUCGGGAUUAUAGUCAUGGAACAAACUGAAGUUGUGUACCGUGUACUCUAAGAGAGGGAGAAAGAGGAGAAGCCAUGCUGAACAUCUCCUCACAUUUCCCUGGUGAGGCAGCCAAUGCUGAGGUGAUGAAGGACCUGGGCCAAUGUUGCAAGGUCAGGCUCCUGGCACCUCUGGGUUCAGAUCCCAGCUCCCUUCCCCUGCCUCCUGGCCAUGGAGCCAGCAUGCUCUUUGAAACUUGCUUCCCCCAUUCAUUAGCUGUCUGACCUUUGGAAACUUGCUUAGCCACUCAGCGUUGGAGUUCCAGCAGCUGUCAAAAAGAGGAUAAAAACAUAGUGCCUGCUCUUUCCACCUCAAAUAAGAGCCUGUGAAUGAAAUCUCUACUGUGGAAAAAAUUUAGAAAAAUGUGAGUAAUUAUUUAUAUAGUGAACCUAGCCCUUUCCCUGGAAUUUUAUUUUUUUGAGCUAAGCCUUGAGUUCGGCAAGUUUUCUUGGGAUGUGCUCAUUUCUCCUAAUAGUUUGGUAGCAUGAGUUUUCUGGUAAACAGAGUUUAAACAACGUGGAAUGAUUUAAAUAUUUCCAAAUCAUUUCAUCAUCACAACCUGUUUCUAAAUGUGCCUCCUUUCUUCUUUCUUUCCAGCCUUCUUCCCUCUCCUUUCCUCUCCUGUUCUUUUAGUCUCUUUCAUCUUUGAAGCACCAAUGGUUGAAUGCUGAGCUCCAUCUCUAGCCCUUUUACAAUUUUUUAGUUUGAAAUAGAGUCUUCCUACAUUGUUGAGGCUAGUCUUAAACUUGCAAUCUUCCUGCUUCAGCUUUCUGAAGAGCUGGAAUUAUAACUGUGUGCCACCAAGCCUGGCCCAUGGGUACUUCUUUAUAGCACUGUAAAAACCUUCUCCAUAGUUUUGCUGACCGUGGGAACCCGGACCUUUAACUAUUUGUCUCAUGCAAGAUAUUCAGAAAGGGACACAUUGUAUGCUAAAUGUGGUGUUGGAAUUAGAAGAAAUUCUCAGCAUCUCAUUUGAGAAAGACGGGUUUAGUUAAUCUUUUUUAAUUUUUAAUUUUUAUUAGUACACGUUUGUAGUAUAAAAUAAUUACAUUCACGGUGGGGGGAGUUGGCAGACAUAUACAGUGCAUCUCAGGUAUUUUUUACCCUUCACCUGCUUUCCUUUCUUUUUUUCUCAUUACCAGAUUCAUUUAUUUAUCUUAUAAGUCCUUAUAAUAUUAAUUUUCAUGUAUACAGAUUAACAGCCAGAGUACCAGUCAAAAAGAAUAAAACACAUAAGACAGUUAUACUAAAUCAAGGUACUCUUUUAGAUACAUUGCCUGUGUUAGAUUGCAAUAAUUUUUUUCUUCCUAUCAUCUGUCUUUUAGUUUUCAUUUUAAUUGUAUACUGAGUUUUUCAUAUGAGAGAAUGUAUGCAAUAUUUUUAGCUUGAGUGUCUUAUUUAGUUCAUUUAGCAUUAUGGUCUCAAAGAAUUUGUUUUCCUAUAAAUGACUCAAGUUUAUCCUUUAGGUAAAGUAGUACUCUACUGUUGAUUUAUCUCUCAAUGGACAUACAGGCCUCUUCCAAUGUUUGACAUGUGGUGAGCAAGAGCAUCUGGGCAGCACUGCGGAAUAUGUGUGCAAUGAAUGAAUCACAGAAGCCACACUUGUCUACAUGUAGCUGAGUCUAUAAAGAAGUGAAGAAUCUCUUAAAGACCACAGCUUCCCCUCUAUUUUUACAAAACUGUAAUUGAAGAGGGGAAUGGGAAAAAAAGAAUGAAGAUAUACUAUGCACAGGUACAAAUUCUCUAUGAUGAAUGUGAUCAUUGUGUAUGUAAAAAAUGUACCAAAGAAAUUUUAAAAAAUAAAGCCUACAACUCCAAAUAAA